UACGUAGGGUGCAAGCGUUGUCCGGAAUUAUUGGGCGUAAAGAGCUCGUAGGCGGUUUGUUGCGUCGGCUGUGAAAUCCCGAGGCUCAACCUCGGGUCUGCAGUCGAUACGAGCAAACUAGAGUGUUGCAGGGGAGACUGGAAUUCCUGGUGUAGCGGUGAAAUGCGCAGAUAUCAGGAGGAACACCGGUGGCGAAGGCGGAUCUCUGGGCCGUAACUGACGCUGAGGAGCGAAAGCAUGGGGGAGCGAACAGG
rnacentral:rRNA from 1 species